UACGUAGGGUGCAAGCGUUAAUCGGAAUUACUGGGCGUAAAGCGUGCGCAGGCGGCUUUGCAAGACAGAUGUGAAAUCCCCGGGCUCAACCUGGGAACUGCAUUUGUGACUGCAAGGCUAGAGUACGGUAGAGGGGGGGUGGAAUUCCCGGUGUAGCGGUGAAAAUGCGUAGAUAUCGGGGAGGAACACCUGUGGCGAAGGCGGCCCCCCUGGUUGGAUACUGACGCUGAUACGCGAAAAGCGUGGGGGAGCAAAACAGGG
rnacentral:rRNA from 1 species